rnacentral:rRNA from 1 species
GACGUAGGGUGCGAGCGUUAAUCGGAAUUACUGGGCGUAAAGCGUGCGCAGGCGGUGAUGUAAGACAGGUGUGAAAUCCCCGGGCUUAACCUGGGAACUGCAUUUGUGACUGCAUCGCUGGAGUGCGGCAGAGGGGGAUGGAAUUCCGCGUGUAGCAGUGAAAUGCGUAGAUAUGCGGAGGAACACCGAUGGCGAAGGCAAUCCCCUGGGCCUGCACUGACGCUCAUGCACGAAAGCGUGGGGAGCAAACAGG